rnacentral:rRNA from 1 species
CUCUGUGACUCCUACGGGGAGGCAGCAGUGGGGGGAAUAUUGCACAAUGGGCGCAAACCUGAUGCAGCCAUGCCGCGUGUGUGAAGAAGGCCUUCGGGUUGUAAAGCACUUUCAGUUGUGAGGAAGGUGGUGUCGUUAAUAGCGGCAUCAUUUGACGUUAGCAACAGAAGAAGCACCGGCUAACUCCGUGCCAGCAGCCGCGGUAAUACGGAGGGUGCGAGCGUUAAUCGGAAUUACUGGGCGUAAAGCGCAUGCAGGUGGUUUGUUAAGUCAGAUGUGAAAGACCCGGGGCUCAACCUCGGAACUGCAUUUGAAACUGGCAGACUAGAGUACUGUAGAGGGGGGUAGGAAUUUCAGGUGUAGCGGUGAAAUGCGUAGAGAUCUGAAGGAAUACCGGUGGCGAAGGCGGCCCCCUGGACAGAUACUGACACUCAGAUGCGAAAGCGUGGGGAGCAAACAGGAUUAGAUACCCUGGGAG